rnacentral:SRP_RNA from 1 species
UGCGGAGCUAGACUGGGCUGUUAGGCGGAGCCUGUAACCCGAAAUCGUCUUAGCGGGAGUUGAAAACCCUGGAAGGUAUUUAAAACGGUAAAAGCCUCUUUGAUUUGACUGCGAAGUCCAGCCUUGAAAGGUGGUUUUUAUUGUGAAUCCCCCAGAUUCGGAAGAAAGCAAGGGUAAGCAGUGGAGAUUAUGCUUUUGAGUUCACUGGAUGGAGAAGAAUCAGGGAGUAAACUUUUGCUGUUUUGUUUAUCGACUGGGGGGUGCUCUGCA